GAUGAACGCUAGCGGCAGGCCUAACACAUGCAAGUCGAGGGGUAGAACACUUCGGUGUUUGAGACCGGCGCACGGGUGCGUAACGCGUAUGCAAUCUACCUUGUACAGGGGAAUAGCCCAGAGAAAUUUGGAUUAAUGCCCCAUAGUAUAUAACCUUCGCAUGUUGGUUAUAUUAAAGUUCCAACGGUACAAGAUGAGCAUGCGUCCCAUUAGUUAGUUGGUAAGGUAACGGCUUACCAAGACGAUGAUGGGUAGGGGUCCUGAGAGGGAGAUCCCCCACACUGGAACUGAGACACGGACCAGACUCCUACGGGAGGCAGCAGUGAGGAAUAUUGGUCAAUGGGCGCAAGCCUGAACCAGCCAUGCCGCGUGCAGGAAGACGGUCCUAUGGAUUGUAAACUGCUUUUAUACAGGAAGAAACCCUCCCACGUGUGGGAGAUUGACGGUACUGUAGGAAUAAGGAUCGGCUAACUCCGUGCCAGCCGCCGCUGUAAUAC
rnacentral:rRNA from 1 species